AAUCAAAGAAGGUAAUAAUCCUGUAGUCGAAAAUGUUGUCUCUCUUGAGUGGAUCCUGAGUACGACGGAGCACGUGAAAUUCCGUCGGAAUCUGGGAGGACCAUCUCCUAAGGCUAAAUACUCUCUAGUGACCGAUAGUGAACCAGUACCGUGAGGGAAAGGUGAAAAGCACCCCGGAAGGGGAGUGAAAUAGAACCUGAAACCGUGUGCUUACAAGUAGUCAGAGCCCGUUAAUGGGUGAUGGCGUGCCUUUUGUAGAAUGAACCGGCGAGUUACGAUUUGAUGCAAGGUUAAGCAGUAAAUGUGGAGCCGUAGCGAAAGCGAGUCUGAAUAGGGCGUUUAGUAUUUGGUCGUAGACCCGAAACCAGGUGAUCUACCCUUGGUCAGGUUGAAGUUCAGGUAACACUGAAUGGAGGACCGAACCGACUUACGUUGAAAAGUGAGCGGAUGAACUGAGGGUAGCGGAGAAAUUCCAAUCGAACCUGGAGAUAGCUGGUUCUCUCCGAAAUA
rnacentral:rRNA from 1 species